UAAUGCUUGGGAAUCUAGCUUAUGGAGGGGGAUAACUACGGGAGACUGUAGCUAAUACCGCGUAGUAUCGAGAGAUGAAAGUGUGGGACCUUCGGGCCACAUGCCAUAGGAUGAGCCCAAGUGGGAUUAGGUAGUUGGUGAGGUAAAGGCUCACCAAGCCGACGAUCUCUAGCUGGUCUGAGAGGAUGACCAGCCACACUGGGACUGAGACACGGCCCAG
rnacentral:rRNA from 1 species